rnacentral:rRNA from 1 species
UGGGGAAUAUUGCACAAUGGGCGCAAGCCUGAUGCAGCCAUGCCGCGUGUAUGAAGAAGGCCUUCGGGUUGUAAAGUACUUUCAGCGGGGAGGAAGGCGAUAAGGUUAAUAACCUUGUCGAUUGACGUUACCCGCAGAAGAAGCACCGGCUAACUCCGUGCCAGCAGCCGCGGUAAUACGGAGGGUGCAAGCGUUAAUCGGAAUUACUGGGCGUAAAGCGCACGCAGGCGGUCUGUCAAGUCGGAUGUGAAAGCCCCGGGCUCAACCUGGGAACUGUAUUCGAAACUGGCAGGCUAGAGUCUUGUAGAGGGGGGUAGAAUUCCAGGUGUAGCGGUGAAAUGCGUAGAGAUCUGGAGGAAUACCGGUGGCGAAGGCGGCCCCCUGGACAAAGACUGACGCUCAGGUGCGAAAGCGUGGGGAGCAAACA